rnacentral:rRNA from 1 species
CGGGUGAGUAAUGUCUGGGAAACUGCCUGAUGAGGGGGAUAACUACUGGAAACGGUAGCUAAUACCGCAUAACGUCGCAAGACCAAAGAGGGGGACCUUCGGGCCUCGCGCCAUCAGAUGAACCCAUAUGGGAUUAGCUAGUAGGUGAGGUAACGGCUUACCUAGGCGACGAUCCCUAGCUGGUCUGAGAGGAUGAUCAGCCACACUGGAACUGAGACACGGUCCAG